AUUCUUUCAAAAAAAAAUUCAGAAACUCUCCAAAAAAGCUCUCCCCUACCUCGAUUUCCAGCCAUCAAUCCAGCCUUGCUCCGGCGCCAGACCACCGUAGAGGCCGCCGAUCGCUGGCAACGGCGCCGCCGUCCGCAGUGGCCGAAAACCUAAAAGACCCAUUUUUUUGGGUUUUUCGACUUCUCGAGCCCAAAAAUGUCAUCUUUUAUCUGAGACGACGACCUCAGCCCCCCGUGACAGCGCUAACGAAACCAAAGGGGUGCGUGGGUGAACACGCUACUGACGUAGCGUGGUGGAGCGGCGUACGUCGUGAAGGUCGUGCGUGACGGAGGCACGAGCGUCGGAUGCUGAUGUGGCAAGGAGUGACGGCUGCUAGGGUUUCAUUCCCUUUUUUUGGCUGAAAAAUGUUUAGGUUGUGGGCUUAGGUAUUGGGUUAGGUUUUUUAGUUUUGGGCUUGUUUGGGUUUAGUAAUUUAGGCUGUAAUUUUGGACUGGUUUAAUUAUUUUGGACUUUGGUUUUUAUAUCUGGUUUUGGGCCCAAGCAAAUUCAGCCUAUUACAAAGAUGAUAAAAUUUGCUACCAGCCAG